UUUUUUUAAACUUGAUCAAGAACCGUCCUUGAUUAUUUUUGUAGGGACCUGAUAGACUGGAGAAAGUUGGAACUUGUGGUUAUGUUACAUCUUUAAUAUACUCGUCUGGUUGUUUGAAGAUAUUAUCGAUUAAUGGAAAUGAAUAUGGUUGAUUUGGUUCUUAAUGAUUGUGUAUUGUUUAUCUAUCUUACUUCCUUUGGCAG